rnacentral:rRNA from 1 species
GACGAACCGUGCGAACGUUGUUCGGAAUCACUGGGCUUAAAGGGCGCGUAGGCGGCCUGCCAAGUCAGGAGUGAAAUCUUUCGGCUCAACCGGAAAAGUGCUUUUGAUACUGGCGGGCUAGAGGGAGAUAGGGGCAUGUGGAACUUCCGGUGGAGCGGUGAAAUGCGUUGAUAUCGGAAGGAACGCCGGUGGCGAAAGCGACGUGCUGGACCUCUUCUGACGCUGAGGCGCGAAAGCCAGGGAGCGAACGGG